rnacentral:rRNA from 1 species
AUUGAACGCUGGCGGCAGGCCUAACACAUGCAAGUCGAACGAGCGGCGGACGGGUGAGUAAUGUCUGGGGAACUGCCCGAUAGAGGGGGAUAACUACUGGAAACGGUAGCUAAUACCGCAUACUGUCGGAUGUGCCCAGAUGGGAUUAGCUAGUAGGUGGGGUAAUGGCUCACCUAGGCGACGAUCCCUAGCUGGUCUGAGAGGAUGACCAGCCACACUGGGACGGAGACACGGCCCAGACUCCUACGGGAGGCAGCAGGGGGGAAUAUUGCACAAUGGGCGCAAGCCUGAUGCAGCCAUGCCGCGUGUAUGAAGAAGGCCUUAGGGUUGUAAAGUACUUUCAGUGGGGAGGCGUUACCGGCAGAAGAAGCACCGGCUAACUCCGUGCCAGCAGCCGCGGUAAUUC